AGCUCCAAUAGCGUAUAUUAAAGUUGCUGCAGUUAAAAAGCUCGUAGUUGCAUUUCCGAGGCAAGGGAUUAGUCCGACCUUUGGUGGGUAUUUAAUCCUCUUGCCUCGUCCUUGAGUGGUGCUUCUUGGUAUUAAGUUAUCGAGGAGAUAGCCGCUCAUCGUUUACUGUGAGAAAAUUAGAGUGUUCAAAGCAGGCUUAUGCCGUUGAAUAUAUUAGCAUGGAAUAAUAAGAUAGGACCGCGGUACUAUUGUGUUGGUUUGAGAACCAAGGUAAUGAUGAAUAGGGACAGUUGGGGGUAUUCGUAUUCAGUUGUCAGAGGUGAAAUUCUUAGAUUUACGGAAGACGAACUACUGCGAAAGCAUUUACCAAGGAUGUUUUCA
rnacentral:rRNA from 1 species